GAUGAACGCUAGCGGCAGGCUUAAUACAUGCAAGUCGAGGGGCAGCACGGUUAGCAAUAACUGGUGGCGACCGGCGCACGGGUGCGUAACACGUAUACAAUCUACCUUAAACAGGGGGAUAGCCUUUCGAAAGAGAGAUUAAUACCCGUAAUAAAUUGAACGGCAUCGUUUGAUUUUGAAAGCUCCGGCGGUUUGAGAUGAGUAUGCGUCUGAUUAGCUAGUUGGUGAGGUAACGGCUCACCAAGGCGACGAUCAGUAGGGGAUCUGAGAGGACUAACCCCACACUGGUACUGAGACACGGACCAGACUCCUACGGGAGGCAGCAGUAAGGAAUAUUGGUCAACGGAGGCAACUCUGAACCAGCCAUGCCGCGUGCAGGAUGACGGCCCUAUGGGUU
rnacentral:rRNA from 1 species